rnacentral:rRNA from 1 species
UACGUAGGGUGCGAGCGUUGUCCGGAAUUAUUGGGCGUAAAGAGCUCGUAGGCGGCUCAGUAAGUCAGGUGUGAAAACUCCAGGCUCAACCUGGAGACGCCACUUGAUACUGCUGUGGCUAGAGUCCGGUAGGGGAGCAUGGAAUUCCUGGUGUAGCGGUGAAAUGCGCAGAUAUCAGGAGGAACACCAGUGGCGAAGGCGGUGCUCUGGGCCGGAACUGACGCUGAGGAGCGAAAGCGUGGGGAGCAAACAGG